UCGUAACCUGCAAGGCCGAGCAGACAAUUUCCCGAAAGCAGCAUCCGGUGCUUGAUUUACACGAAGGCAUCUGCAGCGCCCGCAAACGUGCCGAACACGGGCGAGUGUCAAACUGCAGGCAACAGUCGCGCUCUGUCAAUUGCCCGGUUUCGACCCACAUGUUUUCCUAUUUCUAACUCAAGUAAUGGCAAUGCUCGGCCAGCAUCACGAUAAGAUCGAAUUUUUGGAACAAAGUGGCUUUUCGCGAAACAAGAGACCAUAAACCGAUGCCGCAGUGGCGCAACAUAAAGCACAGUACAGAUGGCAAGCAACAUGCAAGUAAAAGACUGCAUGCUGUGCCGUGACGAAAUGGUUGAAUCCACCGAUAAAGCGAUCUUAGGUAAACUCACGAUGCGUUUUGGCAAAACAGUUUUGAUAUCCUACAUUACGAUAUUUCCGUAUUUCCAGUACAAGAGGCCACGCAAUAUUUUCCUGGUAAACCGGAUCGAUCUCUAUUUGAUUCAGGAUGAAAAUGAUGUCUCAUAACAUAAUGAAUGAAAGAAUAGCAAUCUGAUUUCUGAUGGCUUACGAGCUUCAAGAUAUGCAUAAACGCAUUUUCAUCGAAGGAUUGGCAAUCUGAUUUCUGAUGUCGUCUCAUGAGCAUCAUGAAAUGCAUCAAUAUGUUUUCAUCGAAGGAAUAGCAAUCUGAUUUCUGAUGUCUUACGAGCUUCAAGAAAUGCAUAAACGCAUUUUCAUCGAAGUACUGGCAAUCUGAUUUCUGAUGUCUUACGAGCUUCAAGAUAUGCAUAAACGCAUUUUCAUCGAAGGAUUGGCAAUCUGAUUUCUGAUGUCGUCUCAUGAGCUUCAUGAAAUGCAUCAAUAUGUUUUCAUCGAAGUACUGGCAAUCUGAUUUCUGAUGUCUUACGAGCUUCAAGAUAUGCAUAAACGCAUUUUCAUCGAAGGAUUGGCAAUCUGAUUUCUGAUGUCGUCUCAUGAGCUUCAUGAAAUGCAUCAAUAUGUUUUCAUCGAAGAACUGGCAAUCUGAUUUCUGAUGUCUUACGAGCUUCAAGAAAUGCAUAAACGCAUUUUCAUCGAAGGAUUGGCAAUCUGAUUUCUGAUGUCGUCUCAUGAGCUUCAUGAAAUGCAUCAAUAUGUUUUCAUCGAAGUACUGGCAAUCUGAUUUCUGAUGUCUUACGAGCUUCAAGAAAUGCAUAAACGCAUUUUCAUCGAAGGAUUGGCAAUCUGAUUUCUGAUGUCGUCUCAUGAGCUUCAUGAAAUGCAUCAAUAUGUUUUCAUCGAAGAACUGGCAAUCUGAUUUCUGAUGUCUUACGAGCUUCAAGAAAUGCAUAAACGCAUUUUCAUCGAAGGAUUGGCAAUUUGAUUCCUGAUGUCGUCUUACAAGCUUCAAUAUGUUAGCAUUCAUAUGUUUUCAUCAAAGAUCUUCUGUGGGUCAUUGGCACCGGGAAGACCAUCCUGUGGAUCGUCAUAGUCACAGUUGUUACAGCAUUGUGGACCGGUUGUCAGCGAUACACCUGACAAUUCUAAAGACAUCAUCAUCGAAUCAUGUCACCGCUUUUCACUAAUAAUGUCUUACCAAACAACUUAAACCCAGAUCUUAAAUACCACCCGCGUUCAAGUAUUUAAUUUCAUUUAGUUUAUUUAAUUCGACACAGCAAUAGGCUCCCUUGAAAGCAACACAUGUACACAGGCUUAGGAAGCAAUUGCGGAACAUACCGUGUUCAUGAAGAUAGCAAAUGACGGUAGAAUAAGGUAGAACGGUUCUAAACAGGCCAAACGUGUGCGACAGUCUUUGAUGGCGAUUAGAUCGCGGGUACAAAGUCUUCUAGUUGGAGCAUAUAAAUUGAUUUUGGAUAGAAGAAAGGGAAACCCACUACGUUAGUUUAGGACAGGGGUCUCCAAACUUUUCCUCUCGCUGGCCGAAUUGCUUCGCAAAUAGCUAUGUUGAGGGCCAUUUGACGUUACCUUUUACUUAUGAGCGAAUGUUGAAAUCUCGUUUUUAUACCAAAAUACUAACGAAAGUUGUGCAGCUUUGUUCUAUUCAAUAUGACAAUUGACUAAUCUAGUUUUAUGGUAAAUAUGAAUAAUUACCAAUGAAAAAUAAAUGAAUAAAUAAAUGAAUUAAAUCAACUCA